rnacentral:lncRNA from 1 species
CAAUAAAUAAAUUAAUUACAUCAAAUUUAUCAUUAACAAAGGACAAUAAUGUCCUAAUCCCCUCAUCACCUUCUAUUUCAUAGUAUUUUCCAGAAGGGACAGAUACUAGUAACUGUUGCACACCCACAUAGCCUAAUAUAUUAAUGUACUCACUAGUAAUAUCUAUAUAAGAUAAGAGAUCAGAAUCAUAACCUUCCCAUUUGUGAACAAGCUUCCUCUCAUAGAGCAAUUUAGGCUCUCUUAUCCAUUUCCCACCAUAGUGAAAUACUAGAUCAACCAAAACCAUUUUAGGCAACC